rnacentral:lncRNA from 1 species
AAUUCAAGAAGGGAUAAUAAGAUGCCCAAAAUAAAAAAGACAUGUCGAGUGCUACCACUGCCUUUCAAGAGCGACUGACUUGAUGCAGUGUGGGAGUUCUACUGGGAACAUCUGAUGUGGAGGACGCUACAAAAGUGGGCACAUCCAUGAUCAUGAAUCCACCAGCUGCCAGGUGACUGAUGUCCUGCCAUUCCUCCAAAGACUUCACCCUGGACUAACUCCUGCAGUGGAACCUGGGAAGCCUUUUGCCGAGCACUGUGAGACUCCGGCACUGCAGAGAGUGAGUGAAGAACACUUCUGAGGACUCACUUGCGCUCUGGCAGCCCCCGUCACUCACCGUGUAUAUGUCCACCUGUG